rnacentral:rRNA from 1 species
UACGUAGGUGGCAAGCGUUGUCCGGAUUUACUGGGCGUAAAGGGAGCGUAGGCGGAUUUUUAAGUGGGAUGUGAAAUACCCGAGCUUAACUUGGGUGCUGCAUUCCAAACUGGAAGUCUAGAGUGUCGGAGAGGAAAGCAGAAUUCCUAGUGUAGCGGUGAAAUGCGUAGAGAUUAGGAAGAAUACCAGUGGCGAAGGCGGCUUUCUGGACGAUAACUGACGCUGAGGCUCGAAAGCGUGGGGAGCAAACAGG